CGGACUGGACUGGAACGCAACAACUGCCCUGUGUGCCGCACUGUUGUCUAUCCGGCCUUCUGGUCGGAACGCAGCACGCCCAGUGCUCGGUUUGACGGUAGGACCGGUCCGCUCUACGUGGAGUCAGGUGCCAGGCGCCGGGUCCGCGGUGAAUGAAGCGGGCCACGGCUGUACUCACGUGAAGUGAAGUUAUAAACGAUAAAUACAGGCGCUACAUAAAAUCAAAAUAUUAUUGGUGUUUAAAGGAGAAACACACAUGGACACACAUGCUCUUGCUUGUCUCACCAUGCGAUGCCCUGCACUGCCUUGCGACUCUACAGCAAGCCCUCAUUGCAAGAAGACCCUCACCAGAUGCAGCUCCUCAAUCUUGGGCCUUCAAAAAUGAGGAAUAAUGAUGAUGAAGAAGAGGAGGAAGAGUAGAAGGAGGAGAAAGGAGGAGGUGGGGAGAAGCCCACCUUGUCUGGGUAAGAAACCAGGUGACCUGUGCAAGGGAUUGCCCCUUACUGUGCUGGGGAAGUACUCAGAGCUGC